rnacentral:sRNA from 1 species
GUGUAUUAACUUUAUGAUGUCUCAG